rnacentral:sRNA from 1 species
ACGCAGGCCGUGCCAACCGGACGCGACGGAAUAUCGGGGAAUACGGAGAUUUUUCCGGUUUCUCUCCGUGGCCAACGAAGCGGCAGGCGAGCCCCAUCCGUCCGGCUU